AUAGCCGGGGUGGUGGUGGUGGCGGCGGGUACUACAACAACGACGAUGGGUACUACCAGCCGAGGAACUUGAACAACAGGGGCAGGGGCGCAGGGAGGUGGCCACGCGGACACCGAGAGGAUUGAGGCAAUGGCAUAUGUGGAAGUCUGGGAGCCAUUUUGUUAUUAUAGAACUACGGAGUAUGUAAUAACCUAGCCUGUGGGUAUGUCGCAAUCCAGUCCCUCCCCAUCUGCGAGUUUUUUUGUUGCUCCAAUGAGUGCAUAAUGGUUGGUUGGUAAAUGUGGAAUCUAGUUGAAAGUAGCUUCAGGUCAUACAUGUGUUGCUUCUUUUUCUGGCUGUGUGAGUUGUCAUAUAUUUCCGGUUGGUUUA